rnacentral:tRNA from 1 species
GGGCGAAUGGCGAAACCGGCAGACGCGCUACGUUCAGAGCGUAGUGGGAGCAAUCCCGUGGAGGUUCAAAUCCUCUUUCGCCCACCA